rnacentral:lncRNA from 1 species
UCAUUUGCAGAAACAAAGAUUGUGUGUGGAUCGAUGAUGACUUCCAUAUAUACAUUCCUUGGAAAGCUGAACAAAAUGAGUGAAAACUCUAUACCGUCAUUCUCGUCGAACUGAGGUCCAGCACAUUACUCCAACAGGGGCUAGACAGAGAGGGCCAACAUUGAUUCGUUGACAUGGGUGGCACCAAGGGGACCAUCCAGGCUUAGGAUGGGGUUUCUUUGGGUGAAUGGUAGACACAGGGGAGUAGGAUCUCCCAUGCACAGGACAUACCUUGUUUGAAGGACUUCUGUGUCCUAGGGCUGGAUAACUCAUGUGCUGUCUGGAGGACUAGGUGAAUGGCAGAUUGCAUGGGAAGAGUUAACUGGUAGCCUGCCUCUGAUGGCCAAGUUUGUCCUUGAGUCCAAGCUCUGGGUACCGAAGUCCCCCAGAGGAAGACAGAUCCUUCUGGUUGCGGGGAGAGCAAAAGGCUACACCUUUGCCAUUAGUUGGCUCAUUUUAUCCUUAGCUGAGGAUGUUGGAGUUGUGUUUACCCGGCAUAGCCUCUGUGCCUAUGUGCCCAUGUUGUGUACUGUGCAUUGUGAGGAUGUAUAUUUGGCAUGAACAGGCAGGCUUCCUCUCCAAACUGGGGCUGAUAGACAGCGAGGCUCUGGGUUAUCCCAAACCAGAUACAGGUCAAUGGCUUCCUCUUUAGGGGUGCAGGGCCUUGAUUAUUUUGUGACUGGCAUUGCAGGUGUUGAAACAAGGGUAUUGAGAAGGAUGCUCAACAUCAGUGCUCUUUAGCGGGAUGAUGCAUUCUGAGGGCUGCCAUCCCCAAGAUGAGCAUACUUGUGUCCAUAAAUUUCUGGGUUCACGAACAAGGGAAGCCAGAGACAGGCAUAUUCCAGAUAAACCACAGGGGGAAGAUAGCAUGGUCCUCGUGACCUGUGCACCCGUCUGCCUUUCUGAAGCAUGCUUCUUUAUCCUCUGCACUUCGCAGGUAGUGUUGGUGUAAAAGGCAAACCCGUGUCAUGAGGGAUGGUCAUCAUCUUGUGUGAUCCUUGGAGAUGGCAGGAAGCCCUGGACAUACAUGGUGUGGGGGCUCCUCCAGAGGCUGUUGGGAUCCUCCUGGAUGUAAGUGAUUCCAUUUCAAAGCACCCUGAGUUUCCUCAUUUGCAGGGAUGGAGAUUGUGUGUGGAUCGAUG